UUAUACGGUAGGCUGGUUUGUUAUUGUGCGAAGUUAUCGUUUUGCGCAAUCCCUUUCUUUCAAGGCCGCUCAACCGCGGCCCAGGUGCAAAGAACCACACAAACUGAGUGGCAAAUGACGUUACCAUUUGUUCGCGGAAGUGGCUUUUUUGUGUUGGUAGAAAGGGGAGGAAAGGAAGAGAAACUAAAGAAGAAAAGUUUCAGCCCUCUUUCUAAAGAAAUUAAUAUGCACACUGUACGACAGCUGGCGUUUUGAACCUUCGCAUUCAGCCACUUGUGUAAUUUAGUUAGAAGUAGGCCUACGGGACAACAACAGCUGGGAGAAAACAAGAGGCACAAAAGGGACAAGGAGGAAGAUAGCUGGUGGAACAGGAAGUGGCCACUAUUACGUUUAUGUAAACUCCACAAUACCUACUAUGCAAUGGAAACUAUGCUACCAUUCUUACUAUGUAAAAACAUGUUACUGCAAGAAAAUUAAUAAAUGAAUCCCAGUGUUACCACACAGGUUUAGAGAAAGUGAAUCUAAAGUCUGACUAAACAGGCUGGUUUUGGCUUUCUGUAAAUGCUCUAGUUCUUUUUCAGCGACCUAAUCAGAAUUUCGGAUUACACUACAUUUCUGUGAUGUGCAAUAUAGUUCUUUAGCAUAUUGUCAAGAUGGCAUUCUCAUUGAGAUGAUUUAAUGUUUCAAUUGGUCUAGGUUCUAUAUUGUAAUGGAAGUGGAACUAUAUGUUUCAGACAACACCGAUCAUUUAAAUCAUCUGUGACAAGCCCUGACUAAAACAGUGCUCUGUAGUUGGAUACGUGCCAUACAGAACAUUCAACAACAAGCUGUGAUGCUGGGCCCUUCAUAAGCCUAUGAUUCGGGCUGUAUUGGUGUGGCCAGAUACAUAAACACACACAGUUGUUAUGGUUACCUACACCUCAGUCUGUGAUGGGACUUCUGUUGUUAGACAGCUGGCCUGGUCCUGAGCCCUAUACCACGUAUGUGGUUUGAGGAGUUAGCGAGGUCACUUUGGUCAACUCUGAGUUCAACUCGGGAUAACUGGUACCACGACAGUGACUCACCUUUCAGCCAGGUACAUUUCUAUGGCAACAAAUCCAGAACUAACCUGCACCUGGGCAGGCUUACUCAGGGUUAACUCCAUGUAUCCUGAAUGAAGUGUCACGAGUUAAAGACCAAUAAAAUCAAGUAAAACGUGUGUAUAACUUAAUACGAUUAUUAUAUCGAUAGGAGUGGGGGAAAGGUGCUUGUGUAUUGAUAAGCACACUAAAGAAGGUAUUAACUAUAAUAAAAUAAAGACGGCCCUUCAACGAGCCUAUUUUACACCACAGCCUGCUGAAUGUGCAGCAAAACUCUUUUCAUUUUGCACAAAUUAAGACGUGGCACUGACUCGCCCAUGGAUGGAUGUUUCAGCCUUGCCUCAAUGAAAAGUUUGGUGUUCCACCAGACACGUGUGACAUGCAUGCACAGUUACAAGCCUGCUAGAGUUAGCAGCAGGCAUAUAAGCAAUAUCCACUGUUGUAGUACGGAUGAAGCCUGAGCUGGAAUGUGACUCAAGCUGGCUAGCUUUGGAAAACCCUGAGUAAAUCUAAGUUUAAUCAUAGUAUACCACUCUGAUGGUUUGGCGACACCCCAGACAGACAGGAGUCAGGGAUGGAGUGGAUAGAGGUAGGCUUGUGUCUGAACAGACUGCUUCAUAAUAAGCCCAGCUCCCAUAUCACACUCUCACACACUCUUUAAACUCACUGUCAGUGGGUUAUCUCUCUGAUGGUGACGAAGAGGAGGAAGGCUUGACUGACUGCUGCAUGGGGAUAAUAAACUCUGAGAGACUGAAAUGUCAGUGUUAGAAAUGUACAUGCACACACACAACCAACUAAUCUAUUAAUCUAUCUGUCAAUCAAAUACAUCCUGUUUGACACAGAGCUUCACAAUCCACCUCAGACCCUCUCAAUCAAACAAGGUCUGCCUAAUCUAAUGCAGACCCUAUCAAUCAAAAGCAGAACCAAUCAGUCCUGUCUGUGUGAUAAGCUUGGCUGGGUGACACCUUUCGUUAACUCCCUUUUGAUUUGGCAGACAGGUGUGUGUAUCUCUGCUCAAAAAUAAGUGUGUGCGAGUGUGCACGUAUGCAUGUGUGCGGACGUGUGCCAGCCCUUAGUUGCAAUUGGCAACAGUCUUGGAUUUCACUCAGCGUCAGUUUGUAUAUCAAUAUGAUGCUAUGCCUGACAUGUAGCUCACUGCCAGAGAAAAAAGCCAAGCAGCUGGCUAGAUACUUCUCUGUUUUAGCUGGCAAGAUACUGUUUCAGCUGUUGUGAGCAGCAGCUUAUCUGCAUCAAGAAGAGGUUUUGUUUCCAUGGUUUUAAGAACAUUCAUAUGUAUGACCUUUGACUUAUUUGGGUCCUUCACUGUAACACUUAAUUGUGGACCCAAAUAGUUUUCAGCGUGUGUGGAAACACUGUAGGAGCAGUUAUCUGGGUCUCAGUGUGUGGUUGUCCGUCUUACAACGUAGCGGAAGAGAUGGUGAUGCCUGAGCUCCACUUCCUGCCCUGCAGCCCUGGUCUGCCUCCUACUCACUUCACAUAGACACUUAAGACUACAUGCUGAGCUGCAGACAGAUUCACUCCCACAUAGAUACAUUUAAACUAAAGGCCUACUAGUAUUUACUUGAUGCACUUCAUAACUGUAAGUCGCUUUGCAUAAGUGUCUUCUAAAUGGCAUAUAUAAUAAUCAAGUCCCAAAGUAAUCAUUAUGAUACCACUAUUCAUAGAUUCAUAGAUUUUAUUUUGUGAUACAAAACAGGGAGCUUUAUCAGGGUUGCACAUGCUUCAUACUCAGGCCAAUAAUAUACUGGUGCUUCCUGCCGGUCCUGUCGGUCACAUUUGGUGAGCAAAGUUAAAGAGGGACAUUCCUAAUGUCUGAUGUUAUUAAUAGGAGUACAUAUGAACAGGAAGCGAAUGGAACUCCUGUCCACUGAAUGGAAGCGAAUGAAAUGAAUAGAAUGGUUAGCUCCCGUACUUCCUGGUCUCCUUUAUGACAUCUCUGUGCCUAAUCCUGUUUUCUGCCAUCCUAGGUUCAUGGCAUUGGAUCUGUGUGGUGUGAACACCUUUGUGUGGGAGGUUUGUGAGGUUAGAAGGGAACUGUUUCAGUCUCACAUCCUGCUCUGGCCGAGGCUACAGUUUCCAGGGAUUACUUAUUGUUUCUCUGUAAAGUGUUACACUCUGAGUUCCCUAUGGUGUGCAGUCUGUGUAGUGUUACACACUAAUAGUUCCCCUGGCUGGCUGAGCCUGUAGUCAGGAGUUCUCUGUCUACCAUACCAGUAUGUUUGUGAAUAAAGUGAUACGACUCUGAGUUUCUUCUGUCUUUGUGCUGUUGUUUUGAAUUAUCAAAUUUAUUUGGGCCAUGGGUUGUGUAGGGUAGGCUAUGAGUCAGAGCGAGUCUGUAUAGAUUUGGACAGGACAGACCUGUCCUGUGUGUUGUAAUGUAUUGGUCUCCGUUAAGGCCUGUGGUUCUGGACAGUGAGGUGUGUGCGCGUGCGUUUGUGUGUAUAGCAUUUCUUGGGUCCUGUAGAAUUGGUUAAUAUUCAUCAAAGUAGCAACACGGAAGGGAGAGGGACAUUGGCAGAAGAGAUGGAGAGAGACUGAUGGGAGAUAUCUUGUUAUUCAGUCAAGUCUAGCAGUCACUGCCCUGAGAAUCUUUGGUUUAUAUAUGACAGCUUUGCACGCUCUUAGUGAAGACAUCAAAACUAUGAAAUAACACCAUUAUUCUACAAUAUAGAAAAUAGUAAAAAUAAAGAAAAUAAUUAGUAGGAGUGUCCAAACUUAACUGCUACUGUAUAUACAUUUUUACACCCAGGUUAAAACACUCACCAGACAUAUAAUUAGGUACACCCAUCUAGUACCGGGUCAGACCCCCUUUGCCUCCAGAACAGCCUGAAUUCUUUGUGGCAUUCUACAAGGUGUCGGAAACGUUCCACAGGGAUGUUGGUCCAUGUUGGCGUCAUGGGCUCAUGCAGUUGCUGCAGAUUGGACAGUGGUACAUACAUGCUGUGAACAGCCCGUUCCAUCUCCUCCUAAAUAUGUUCUAUUGGGUUGAGGUCUGUGGACUGACCCGGCCACAACAAUAAACUGAACUGGCUGUCAUGUUCCAGGGGAUGUUUCCACUCCUCAACUGUCCAGUGUUGGUGAUCGAGUGCCCACUGGAGCCACUUCUUCUUGUUUUUAGUUGAUAGGAGUGGAACCCAGUGUGGUCAGGACAGGAGGCAGGCAGAAUGGGAAUGUGUGUGUGUUUUGAGUAUCUGAGAGUAGCUAAGUAUGUUAGUAGGCAAUAAAAAAAACUUUACCUUCAGACUGCCUGCCCUUUUUUAAUAGCCAGGCAGCUGCACACAUUCCAGCAAAUAAACACCUGUUUCAAAUAAAUGCUGUGUCUAAAUGUAAUUGUUUACGAGUGAACUUCAGUGAGUACAGUAAAGAUAAAGGAGAGUCAUGGAUGAGACGGCAGUGUGGUUUGACAUGGUCGACUCAACUACGGUGGAUACAAGAGGUGCAACGAGUGAGACAAUGGUGCUGAAACGUGAAAUCGGGGGGUGUAUGAUGGGCAGCCUAGUCUUUGCAUGUCUGAUCUGUGAUGGAUUUGUUAUUACAAUGUUUAUACUGGUCACAAACAGUGUGGUAGUCUUUUCAACAUUUUAUUGAGCACACUAUGUGUGUUAAGGAAGUAGACGCCUGGCUGAAAUAAAAGCCUGUCUCUAAUAAGCGCCGGUUGUGUUCAGUGAUUAAAGCAAAUAAACACCUGGGAUAUUAUUUGAAGUUUUACAGUAUUUGGUAUUGAAGGAUAGAGGAAGGGACAGACUUGGAGAACCUGAGAGGAAAAGAGAAAAUCAAUGCAAGACAGAGCAGACAAAAGGGAAACAGACAAGAGUAAGUGAAGGAAGGAGAGUGGGUAGAGAGAAUAAAACGAGGAUAGAGGAAGGGACAGACUUGGAGAACCUGAGAGGAAAA